rnacentral:rRNA from 1 species
CCUACGGGUGGCUGCAGUGGGGAAUCUUGGGCAAUGGGCGCAAGCCUGACCCAGCAACGCCGCGUGAAGGACGAAGGUUUUCGGAUUGUAAACUUCUUUGGUCGGGGACGAAACAAAUGACGGUACCCUGGGAGGAAGCCACGGCUAACUACGUGCCAGCAGCCGCGGUAAAACGUAGGUGGCGAGCGUUGUCCGGAAUUACUGGGCGUAAAGGGCGCGCAGGCGGCCUGUCAAGUCAGUAGUGGAAGUCCAUUUUUCAAGGAUGGAAGUGCUAUAGAAACUGAUGGGCUUGAGUGCAGGAGAGGUUAUCGGAAUUCCCGGUGUAGCGGUGAAAUGCGUAGAGAUCGGGAGGAACACCAGUGGCGAAGGCGGGUAACUGGACUGCAACUGACGCUGAGGCGCGAAAGUGUGGGGAGCAAACAGGAUUAGAUACCCUAGUA